rnacentral:rRNA from 1 species
UACGUAGGGCGCAAGCGUUGUCCGGAAUUAUUGGGCGUAAAGAGCUCGUAGGCGGUUUGUCGCGUCUGUCGUGAAAGCCCACGGCUUAACCGUGGGUCUGCGGUGGAUACGGGCAGACUAGAGGCAGGUAGGGGAGAAUGGAAUUCCCGGUGUAGCGGUGGAAUGCGUAGAUAUCGGGAGGAACACCAGUGGCGAAGGCGGUUGCCUGGAGCUUUGCUGACGCUGAUGCGCGAAAGCGUGGGGAGCAAACAGG